AGUGAACGCUGGCGGUAGGCCUAACACAUGCAAGUCGAACGGCAGCACAGGAGAGCUUGCUCUCUGGGUGGCGAGUGGCGGACGGGUGAGGAAUACAUCGGAAUCUACUCUGUCGUGGGGGAUAACGUAGGGAAACUUACGCUAAUACCGCAUACGACCUACGGGUGAAAGCAGGGGACCUUCGGGCCUUUCGCGAUUGAAUGAGCCGAUGUCGGAUUAGCUAGUUGGCGGGGUAAAGGCCCACCAAGGCGACGAUCCGUAACUGGUCUGACAGGAUAAUCAACCAGACUGGAACUUAGACACGGUCCAGACUCCUACGGGAGGCAGCAGUGGGGAAUAUUGGACAAUGGGCGCAAGCCUGAUCCAGCCAUACCGCGUGGGUGAAGAAGGCCUUCGGGUUGUAAAGCCCUUUUGUUGGGAAAGAAAUCCAGCUGGCUAAUACCCGGUUGGGAUGACGGUACCCAAAGAAUAAGCACCGGCUAACUUCGUGCCAGCAGCCGCCGUAA
rnacentral:rRNA from 1 species